rnacentral:lncRNA from 1 species
UUUUUUUAAAUUUAAAUUUUAAUUCAAUUGAAAAUUAUUUUAAAUUUAAAAAUUACUCACAGAACUUAAUGCAUUCUUUAAAAAAAAAAGAUAAAUUACAGAAAAUUUCCAUGUCAAUAUCCGUCUUUUUACUUUUCUCCUCUAUCGUUUAAAAACAUACAGUUUAUCCCUUUGUAAAAUAAAAAAUGUUCACUUUACCUUCUGUCGUUAGUGUCCCAUUUGGAAUCCGUUUAUAAAAUAUUAUUAUAUAUUUUUUAUACUAAAAAUACCCUCAGCCUCCUCUUCUGCGGCCUCGCCCUUCUCCGCCUCGCCGCCUCGCCCUCCUCCGCUGCCUCGUCCUUCCUCCGCUGCCUCGUUCUUACCCACAUUUCCCUUCGCGCCCACAAACACCCCCUCUUCCUCCUCCGCCGCCUCACCUUCGCCCUCGUUGCCUUUGCCCACCUCUCCAUCUAUGCCCAUCUUAAUUUCCUCCCUACUGUUGUCGAAAUGGAGGGGCGAUGAUGGUGCAAGAGAAGAAGGGGAGCAGGUGGAGAAGAAAAUGGAGAGAUCGACCGCAGAUGAGCAAGACGAGGGAGGAGACGAAAAUGGUGAGAAACAAAUUAGUCAUUUUGUCAUCAUAGUUCACACCGUACCCCUCUAUGAACAUUUUUUAUUUUAUAAGGGAGCAAAGUGUAAGUUUUUAAAUGACAUAAGGGAAAGUUAAAAAACAGAUAUUGAGAGGGUUUUUAUGUAAUUUAACCAAAAAAAAAACUGG